CCUACGGGAGGCAGCAGUGGGGAAUAUUGGGCAAUGGACGCAAGUCUGACCCAGCAACGCCGCGUGAAGGAAGAAGGCUUUCGGGUUGUAAACUUCUUUUAAGGGGGAAGAGCAGAAGACGGUACCCCUUGAAUAAGCCACGGCUAACUACGUGCCAGCAGCCGCGGUAAUACGUAGGUGGCAAGCGUUGUCCGGAUUUACUGGGUGUAAAGGGCGUGCAGCCGGGAAGACAAGUCAGAUGUGAAAUCCCGCGGCUCAACCGCGGAACUGCAUUUGAAACUGUUUUUCUUGAGUAUCGGAGAGGUGAUCGGAAUUCCUAGUGUAGCGGUGAAAUGCAUAGAUAUCACGAAGAACCCCGAUUGCGAAGGCAGCCUUCCGGCGCCCUACUGACGCUGAGGCACGAAAGUGCGGGGAUCGAACAGGAUUAGAUACCCGUGUAGUC
rnacentral:rRNA from 1 species